GGCCCACCAUUUUGAUCGAGUGCGGAGCAUUCGUCUUCUGGUACGGGGCCAUAGCUCAGCUGGGAGAGCGCGUGCUUUGCAAGCAUGAGGUCGUCGGUUCGAUCCCGUCUGGCUCCACCAGAUGGAAUUGAAGCUCGAUAGCGCCUCGUUCAUUUCGUCCGCGAAACAUCACUUCGCACUCAUUGGUCCGGAUGGACGGUGACGUGCGUGUUUUCUGACAUCGUAAAGAGGAGAUCGAUCCGAGUUUGGAUCAAGCGAAGCAAUUCGCCUGAGCCAUUCAUUAUCUCCGGGAUCAUUUCGGCGCUCGCUUCAAUCGUGAGAUUGGAUGCGGGUUGUAAAUGAUCCCUUUUAGCGAAGCUUGACCGCCUCGCUAUCGGGCCGAUCUUACGAAGCAAGCUGGUCUUUCUAGUCAAUGUCCGGCUGCGCAAUCGCAUUCAUCGAGGAUGCGUGCCUGAGACUUCGGUCUUCGGGCAGUUGUGCAGACAACAUUCUGCCGAGUGUGUGGACAUUGAUAAUGAGAGCAAUCAAGUGCCUUAAGGGUGUUCGGUGGAUGCCUUGGCGCUGAGAGGCGAUGAAGGACGUGCUACGCUGCGAUAAGCC
rnacentral:misc_RNA from 1 species